rnacentral:rRNA from 1 species
CGGAGUGCUUAUUGUGUUAACUGCGGCACAGAAGGGGUCGAUACCCUCUACACCUAGCACUCAUCGUUUACGGCGUGGACUACCAGGGUAUCUAAUCCUGUUUGCUCCCCACGCUUUCGCGCCUCAGCGUCAGUUACAGUCCAGAAAGUCGCCUUCGCCACUGGUGUUCCUCCUAAUAUCUACGCAUUUCACCGCUACACUAGGAAUUCCACUUUCCUCUCCUGUCCUCAAGAUACCCAGUUUCCGAUGCACUCUCAGGGUUGAGCCCUGAUCUUUCACACCGGACUUAAAUAUCCGCCUACGCGCCCUUUACGCCCAAUAAUUCCGGACAACGCUUGCCCCCUACGUAUUACCGCGGCUGCUGGCACGUAGUUAGCCGGGGCUUCCUCCUUGGGUACCGUCAUAUUGUCUCAAUAUUUUCAAGACAAUCGUUCUUCCCCAAAGACAGUACUUUACAAUCCGAAGACCUUCAUCAUACACGCGGCGUUGCUCCGUCAGACUUUCGUCCAUUGCGGAAGAUUCCCCACUGCUGCCUCCCGUAGAGUCUGGGCCGUGUCUCAGUCCCAGUGUGGCCGUUCACCCUCUCAGGCCGGCUACUGAUCGUCGCCUUGGUAGGCCUUUACCCCACCAACUAGCUAAUCAGACGCGGGUCCAUCCAUAAUCGGUAGCAUUUU